rnacentral:rRNA from 1 species
GAUGAACGCUGGCGGCGUGCUUAACACAUGCAAGUCGAACGGAAAGGCUCCUGCUUGCAGGGGUACUCGAGUGGCGAACGGGUGAGUAACACGUGGGUGAUCUGCCCUGCACUUCGGGAUAAGCCUGGGAAACUGGGUCUAAUACCGGAUAGGACGAUGGUUUGGAUGCCAUUGUGGAAAGUUUUUCGGUGUGGGGUGAGCUCGCGGCCUAUCAGCUUGUUGGUGGGGUAAUGGCCUACCAAGGCGUCGGCGGGUAGCCGGCCUGAGAGGGUGUACGGCCACGUGGGGAAGUAGAAGGGACAGAGACGCAGGGGAGAGGAAGGAGGGGGGAAAAUGAAAAAGGGGGCAAAAGCCGGAGGCAGAGGGGGCGGGGGGGGGGGGAAGGUCUUGGGUAUGUAAACCCGUUCCGCGAGGGAAGAAGGGGAAGUGAAGGUAGCGGGAGAAGAAGCCCCGGAAAACUACGUG